CAGUAGCCGCGGGAAUACAUAGGUGGCAAGCGUUGUCCGGAAUUAUUGGGCGUAAAGGGCUCGCAGGCGGUUUCUUAAGUCUGAUGUGAAAGCCCCCGGCUCAACCGGGGAGGGUCAUUGGAAACUGGGAAACUUGAGUGCAGAAGAGGAGAGUGGAAUUCCACGUGUAGCGGUGAAAUGCGUAGAGAUGUGGAGGAACACCAGUGGCGAAGGCGACUCUCUGGUCUGUAACUGACGCUGAGGAGCGAAAGCGUGGGGAGCGAACAGGAUUAGAUACCCCUGUAGUCCCUGUCUCUUAUAA
rnacentral:rRNA from 1 species